AUUGAACGCUGGCGGCAGGCCUAACACAUGCAAGUCGAGCGGAUGAAGGGAGCUUGCUCCUGGAUUCAGCGGCGGACGGGUGAGUAAUGCCUAGGAAUCUGCCUGGCAGUGGGGGAUAACGUCCGGAAACGGGCGCUAAUACCGCAUACGUCCUGCGGGAGAAAGUGGGGGAUCUUCGGACCUCGCGCUAUCAGAUGAGCCUAGGUCGGAUUAGCUAGUUGGUGGGGUAAAGGCCUACCAAGGCGACGAUCCUUAACUGGUCUGAGAGGAUGAUCAGUCACACUGGAACUGAGACACGGUCCAGACUCCUACGGGAGGCAGCAGUGGGGAAUAUUGGACAAUGGGCGAAAGCCUGAUCCAGCCAUGCCGCGUGUGUGAAGAAGGUCUUCGGAUUGUAAAGCACUUUAAGUUGGGAGGAAGGGCAGUAAGUUAAUACCUUGCUGUUUUGACGUUACCAACAGAAUAAGCACCGGCUAACUUCGUG
rnacentral:rRNA from 1 species